GACGGAGGAUGCAAGCGUUAUCCGGAAUGAUUGGGCGUAAAGCGUCCGCAGGUGGCAGUUCAAGUCUGCUGUCAAAGACCGGGGCUUAACUUCGGAAAGGCAGUGGAAACUGAACAGCUAGAGUAUGGUAGGGGCAGAGGGAAUUCCUGGUGUAGCGGUGAAAUGCGUAGAGAUCAGGAAGAACAUCGGUGGCGAAGGCGGCAUCCUGGACCACGACUGACGCUGAGUGAGCGAAAGCCAGGGGAGCAAACGGG
rnacentral:rRNA from 1 species